GCUCAAUACAGCGCUUCUCCUGCGUGGCCAAUGGAGAGCCGGAGACUUGUCUUCCCGAAGGCGCUGCAACUGCGGCGUGGGACUGCAUGCUGGGAAUUGUAGUUCCGCACUGUGGAUUCUCUGAUUGGAAAGUCUAGCCACCUGGGACAUGAGAGACAUGAAAAUUCAGACUUAAAGACUGCACAUUUGCCUUUGAUCAUCUUACAGGGAUUGUAACUUCUUUUGGUAUGCCAGUUUCUUCACUAAGGUGAUGAAAUCUAUGGACCCUUUCCCCAGAGAAGCACAUAUAUUUGGGUACCCGUAACAUUUUACCCACAGUUUGAUGGGAUAUUCACACGUGUCACGCUCUUUCAUGGAACCCUUAGAGGACAAGGCUAUCAGGUUAAGGACCCUUGCCUUAAAGCAACAUGAGAGGAGGGUCUCAGAAGCCUGGAUCUGAUCUUGUGGACGCUCAGGUCCCCGGCUCUUAGAGCUCCCCAGGAGCGGCAGAGGGCAUGGAGGGCUCCUCUACCUGAGUAAAUAGGCACACGCCUUCUACAACUAGCAUUUUGGUAUGCUUUGAUACUUGCAUAUGGGUACACUUCUCAAGAUUCCCUUGACUGCAAGUCAUCGAAACUCAAAAUAACAGAAAAGAGGUUUAUUGUCCUACAUACCUGGGAACUGGAUCUAGGACCUCAACAGUGUCAUAGAGACAUUCAUGCUCUUUCUCAACCAUCUUCUACAGAUCUCUCUCACUCUCCCCCUCUCUCGCCUCUUCCAUCUUUCACUUCUGCUUUUUCUGUGUUGUCUUUAUUCUGAAACAAAGAUGUCUACUAGCAGCUCCAGAAUUAAAUCCUCAACAGAAGAAGAGUUUCUUUCUUCCUAAGAAUUGUGUCUAGUCCUGAGUCACCUGCUGGAGCCAGAGAUGGACCACACCAUGUGAACCGCGUGAGCUGAGAAUAGGAAGGAAUGAUUCCCAAGGGGAAAUCGAGAGCUGUUGCCAAAAGAAGGGGAAUGGAUGCUGGUGAGAGGGGCAUAAGCGCACACUGUGUACUACAGUAAGUAGAAUAAGUUAUCCAAGGGAUUAAUAGAUUUUUGGGUUUUAUCCAUCACCAUUCCUGAUUCCCAUGCCACCAUUUCAUUAAAAUAAGCCACACACUUGAAGAAUUACUUAGGCCAAGAAAGAUAGAGGAAUUAUUUGCUAAAAUUGUAUUUGGGGGAGGGGUUGUAAUAAUUCUCCAUAUUUGCUGUGAGGUUUCUGAAAUGCAUUGAUUGUUCUAAUAAGUUGAUUUGUUUCUCCAGGCACUUGUGUUGAUACUGAAAAGGUGAUCUGCUGUAACCAUGGGGACUUGGUGUAACCCCUUUUCAUGAUGAUUAUUCUCUCAUGCACCAUAUUUCCUACAACAAAUGGCUGUAUUUUUUUCUUUUAAUUUUGAAAAGAAUAAAAAAGGAAAAUGCAAAGAACAAUGCAACCAUCACCCAAGGCCCCUCUACCUAGAAUUCGUAAAUGUUAACAUUUUGCCACUUUUGCCGCAGAUUUACAUAAAUGUUUGUAUGAGAAAUCUUACGUAUAUGCAAAAUGAAGUUGCUCUCUCCACA